AUUCUUGCUUAUAUUUUUAUUAGAAUAUCAUAUUUAUAUGUAAAUUUUUGUGUUGUAAUUCUUUAAAGAGGAAUUUAUAUUAAAUGUUAUACAGUAGAUAGUAUUAAAAAUUGAAGUAAUUCAGAUUUAGUGAAUAUUAAAAGAAUUGGAUAAAAUUGUGCCAGCAUCCGCGGUUAUACAUAAAAUUCUAGUAAAAAUUAUUGGUUUUGUAGUAAUUACUAUUUAUUAUGUAAUAAUUAUAUAAAAUAGGACUUAAAUAGUGAAAUAUUUAUAUUCUUAAAUUAUAUAAUAAUUCAUUAGGAAUAUUAUUAAAUUAAAAGGAUAAACUAGGAUUAGAUACCCUAUUAUUUUUAACGUAAAUUUAUUAAGCCAGAGUAUUAGUAGUUAUAAUCUUGAAACUUAAAGAAUUUGGCGGUAUUAUAGAUCUAUUUAGAGGAAUCUGUUAAGUGAUCGAUAGUCCACGCUGAACCUUACUUAUAUUAAUUCUUGUAUACCACUGUUAAGAAUAUAUUAUAAGGUUAUAUUCAUAUAAAAUUAUUGUUUAUAAUUUCAAGUCAAGGUGCAGUAAUAUAUAAGAUGAUUAAUGGAUUACAAAGAAUUGUAUUUUAUUACGGAUAAUAAUUGAAAAAUAUAUUUGAAGGUGGAUUUAAUUGUAAAUUUUAGAAGAUUAUAUAAUUGAAUAUGGCACUUUAAUAUGUACACAUCGCCCGUCACUCUCAUUAUAAGAUGAGAUAAGUCGUAACAGAGUAGUUGUAUCGGAAGAUGUAUCUAGAAAGAAAUUAAG
rnacentral:ncRNA from 1 species